AAACGAGAAACCGUCAGAAAAAUUUUAACUGAUGAUUUGUCCAUGAAAAAGCUGUGUGCAAAGAUGGUACCUUCAUCAUGACAAUGCUCCAUGCCAUCGUGCCUUCAGUGUGUCGCGAUUUUUGACAUCUAAGAACAUCGCAAUGUUGCCACAAGCGCCCUAUUCGCCGGAUAUGUCACCCUGCGACUUCUUUUUGUUCCCUCAAACAAAAUUGGCCGUGAAAGGA